rnacentral:misc_RNA from 1 species
GAUGAAGAACGCAGCGAAAUGCGAUAAGUAAUGUGAAUUGCAGAAUUCAGUGAAUCAUCGAAUCUUUGAACGCACCUUGCGCCCUUUGGACAUUCCGAAGGGCAUGCCUGUUUGAGUAUCAUGAACACCUCAACUCUCACGGCUUGUCCGUGAUGAGCUUGGACUUUGGGGGUCUUGCCGGCCUGUGGUCGGCUCCUCUCAAAUGGAUCAGCUUGCCAGUGUUUGGUGGCAUCACUGGUGUGAUAACUAUCUGCGCUUGUGGUUUUCCAUCAGAUAACCUUCAGUGAUAUGGAGGUUCGCUGGAGCUCACAAAUGUCUCUCCUUAGUGAGGACAGCUCUUUGAACGUUUGAUCUCAAAUCAGGUAGGACUACCCGCUGAACUUAAGCAUAUCAAUAAGCGGAGGA